rnacentral:rRNA from 1 species
CUACAAAGGAAUUGACGGGGCCCGCACAAGCGGUGGAGCAUGUGGUUUAAUUCGAUGAUACGCGAAGAACCUUACCGGGGUUUGACAUGCAGGUGAUCGCCGUUGAAAGACGGUUUCCUCUUCGGAGGCACCUGCACAGGUGCUGCAUGGCUGUCGUCAGCUCGCGUCGUGAGAUGUUCGGUUAAGUCCGCUAACGAGCGCAACCCUCACUGUGUGUUAUAUGUGUCACACGGGACCGCCGGUCUUAAGCCGGAGGAAGGUGGGAUGACGUCAAGUCAGCAUGGCCUUUAUAUCCUGGGCUACACACACGCUACAAUGGCCAACACAAUAGGUUGCUAAGCCGCGAGGUGGAGCCAAUCCAUAAAGUUGGUCUCAGUUCAGAUUGUAGGCUGCAACCCGCCUGCAUGAAGAUGGAGUUGCUAGUAACCGCAGGUCAGCUAUACUGCGGUGAAUACGUUCCCGGGGCUU